rnacentral:rRNA from 1 species
GACGAACGCUGGCGGCGUGCUUAACACAUGCAAGUCGAACGGAAAGGCCUGCUUUCCCUUGUGGAUUGCGGGUACUCGCGUGGCGAACGGGUGAGUAACACGUGAGUGAUCUGCCCCCAACUUGGGUAUAAGCCUGGGAAACUGGGUCUAAUUCCCGAUAGGACUGCAGGGUGGUGCCUGUGGUGGAAAACGAUUUUCUAGUGGUUGGGGAUGAGCUCGCGGCCUAUCAGCUUGUUGGUGGGGUAAUGGCCUACCAAGGCGGCGACGGGUAGCCGGCCUGAGAGGGUGGACGGCGACAUUGGGACUGAGAUACGACCCAGACUCCUACGGGAGGCAGCAGUGGGGAAUAUAGCACAAUGGGCGGAAGCCUGAUGCAGCGACGCCGCGUGGGGGAUGACGGCCUUCGGGUGGUAAACUCCUUUCGACCGAGAGGAAGCCACCUGGUUGGAAGGGUGGUGACGGUAGUGGUAGAAGAAGCACCGGCUAACUACGUG